GGGAAGGACACCCUGCUGGAGUGCGAACCUGAUGUAGGAGAUCUACGUGUAACUAUGUAGGCAAACCAGCUGUGACCACUCCUCUUUAUCCAGUCUGAAAAAGUUCUCCAGAAAGUGAAAAACAAGUUGCGGAGGAUGGCUUGAACAUGAAGUGAUGCCAACACUGAGGUUCUCAGUUUCCUCCUGAGGGCAGCCCGUUCCAGUGCCACUGGUGAUGAUGGAAAGACACAUCAGGAAUGAGCUGACAGCAUCAGGUGUCACCAACUGUCCAUUUUCCUUUGAGAAGGGAUCAUUGAGAAGAAUCUGCCUUAUAAAAAUGUCUAAAGCAUGCUGAAAAUCCCCUCCAAAAUGCUUCAACAUAACAUGUUUUACAUCAGAACCUAAUUCAGAAUGAAGCUUCUGCAGAAUUAAAUUCUCUCUGUACCAUGAAUCCAUGUGAGAUUAAUGCUGUUUAACAGCAACAACAAACAUGCAAAACAGGAUUCAUGGGACACUGGAUUUGUUUUCAGCAUGUAUUGAAAUUGCAUUGAAAGUGUAUUGAAUAUAACGCGACAGACAAUCACAAGCCAUUUUACUACUGCACAUAAUGUAUGUUUAGGAAGACUUUUGACCUCAGUUUGUUUGCAAAUGCUAGAGCACGACGAGUCAAGGAAAUCCUUGACAACACUGCUGCCCCACAUCCUGGGUGAUACACAAAAUGUACAUGAGGUUUCAGGAGGGUUGUCUCGAGUAGACCUUCUCUCUGAUCGGCUUUGUACGUCAUAUGGUUUAAAAAGAUUCAAAAAGAAUUUGAUACAUUAUCUUACGGCUUUGUUUUUGGAAUUGUUAUCAGAAGGCUGUCAGAUCUCUCGAUUGCAAUGAUAACAAUAAAUUACAAAUAUCAAUUGUG